GCGUUAGCGGAGGAAAAGAAACCAACAGGGAUUGCCUUAGUAGCGGCGAGUGAAGCGGCAAAAGCUCAAAUUUGAAAUCUGGCACUUUCAGUGUCCGAGUUGUAAUUUGAAGAAGGUAUCUUUGGGUCUGGCUCUUGUCUAUGUUUCUUGGAACAGAACGUCACAGAGGGUGAGAAUCCCGUGCGAUGAGAUGUCCCAGACCUAUGUAAAGUUCCUUCGAAGAGUCGAGUUGUUUGGGAAUGCAGCUCUAAGUGGGUGGUAAAUUCCAUCUAAAGCUAAAUAUUGGCGAGAGACCGAUAGCGAACAAGUACAGUGAUGGAAAGAUGAAAAGAACUUUGAAAAGAGAGUGAAAAAGUACGUGAAAUUGUUGAAAGGGAAGGGCUUGAGAUCAGACUUGGUAUUUUGUAUGUUACUCUCUCGGGGGUGGUCUCUACAGUUUACCGGGCCAGCAUCAGUUUGAGCGGUAGGAUAAGUGCAAAGAAAUGUGGCACUGCUUCGGUAGUGUGUUAUAGUCUUUGUCGAUACUGCCAGCUUAGACUGAGGACUGCGGCUUCGGCCUAGGAUGUUGGCAUAAUGAUCUUAAGUCGCCCGUCUUGAACCAA
rnacentral:rRNA from 1 species